rnacentral:misc_RNA from 1 species
UCCCGGUUAACCCGGGCAGUCUCAUUAGAGUUCCCACCUUAAAUGUUGGCAACUAAUGAUAAGGGUUGCGCUCGUUGCGGGACUUAACCCAACACCUCACGGCACGAGCUGACGACAGCCAUGCAGCACCUGUGCAGCAGUCCCGAAGGAAAGCGCCAUCUCUGGCGCGGUCUACUGCAUGUCAAGCCUGGGUAAGGUUUUUCGCGUUGCAUCGAAUUAAACCACAUGCUCCACUGCUUGUGCGGGUCCCCGUCAAUUCUUUUGAGUUUCAGCCUUGCGACUGUACUCCCCAGGCGGUAUACUUAACGCGUUAGCUCCGACACAGCCGGGGUUGAUUCCAGCUACAUCAAGUAUACAUCGUUUACAGCAAGGACUAC